UUCGGUCCCUAUCUGCCGUGGGCGCUGGAGAACUGAGGGGGGCUGCUCCUAGUACGAGAGGACCGGAGUGGACGCAUCACUGGUGUUCGGGUUGUCAUGCCAAUGGCACUGCCCGGUAGCUAAAUGCGGAAGAGAUAAGUGCUGAAAGCAUCUAAGCACGAAACUUGCCCCGAGAUGAGUUCUCCCUGAGACUUUAAGUCUCCUGAAGGAACGUUGAAGACGACGACGUUGAUAGGCCGGGUGUGUAAGCGCAGCGAUGCGUUGAGCUAACCGGUACUAAUGAACCGUGAGGCUUAACCUUAC
rnacentral:rRNA from 1 species